rnacentral:rRNA from 1 species
UGAACAGUGGCGAACGGGUGAGUAACACGUGAGUAACCUGCCCCUGACUCUGGAAUAAGCGCUGGAAACGGCGUCUAAUACCGGAUAUGACACGAACGGGCAUCCGUAUCGUGUGGAAAGUUUUUCGGUCUGGGAUGGACUCGCGGCCUAUCAGCUUGUUGGUGAGGUAAUGGCUCACCAAGGCGAUGACGGGUAGCCGGCCUGAGAGGGCGACCGGCCACACUGGGACUGAGACACGGCCCAGACUCCUACGGGAGGCAGCAGUGGGGAAUAUUGCACAAUGGGCGAAAGCCUGAUGCAGCGACGCCGCGUGAGGGAUGACGGCCUUCGGGUUGUAAACCUCUUUCAGCAGGGAAGAAGCGAAAGUGACGGUACCUGCAGAAGAAGCACCGGCUAACUACGUGCCAGCAGCCGCGGUAAUACGUAGGGUGCGAGCGUUGUCCGGAAUUAUUGGGCGUAAAGAGCUUGUAGGCGGUUUGUCGCGUCUGCCGUGAAAAUCCGGGGCUCAACCCCGGACUUGCGGUGGGUACGGGCAGACUAGAGUGUGGUAGGGGAGACUGGAAUUCCUGGUGUAGCGGUGAAAUGCGCAGAUAUCAGGAGGAACACCGAUGGCGAAGGCAGGUCUCUGGGCCACUACUGACGCUGAGAAGCGAAAGCAUGGGGAGCGAACAGGAUUAGAUAUCCUGGUAGUCCAUGCCGUAAACGUUGGGCGCUAGGUGUGGGACUCAUUCCAC